rnacentral:rRNA from 1 species
UACGAAGGGGGCUAGCGUUGCUCGGAAUCACUGGGCGUAAAGCGCACGUAGGCGGCUUUUUAAGUCAGGGGUGAAAUCCUGGAGCUCAACUCCAGAACUGCCUUUGAUACUGAGAAGCUUGAGUCCGGGAGAGGUGAGUGGAACUGCGAGUGUAGAGGUGAAAUUCGUAGAUAUUCGCAAGAACACCAGCGGCGAAGGCGGCGCUCUGGGCCGGUACUGACGCUGAGGAGCGAAAGCGUGGGUAGCAAACAGG